GAUUGAACGCUGGCGGCAUGCCUUACACAUGCAAGUCGAACGGUAACAGGUCUUCGGAUGCUGACGAGUGGCGAACGGGUGAGUAAUAUAUCGGAACGUGCCCAGUCGUGGGGGAUAACGCAGCAAAAGCUGUGCUAAUACCGCAUACGAUCUAUGGAUGAAAGCGGGGGAUCGCAAGACCUCGCGCGAUUGGAGCGGCCGAUAUCAGAUUAGGUAGUUGGUGGGGUAAAGGCCCACCAAGCCAACGAUCUGUAGCUGGUCUGAGAGGACGACCAGCCACACUGGAACUGAGACACGGUCCAGACUCCUACGGGAGGCAGCAGUGGGGAAUUUUGGACAAUGGGCGCAAGCCUGAUCCAGCAAUGCCGCGUGCAGGAUGAAGGCCUUCGGGUUGUAAACUGCUUUUGUACGGAACGAAAAGGCUCUGGUUAAUACCUGGGGCUCAUGACGGUACCGUAAGAAUAAGCACCGGCUAACUACGUGCCAGCAGCCGCGGUAAUACGUAGGGUGCAAGCGUUAAUCGGAAUUACUGGGCGUAAAGCGUGCGCAGGCGGUUUUGUAAGACAGGCGUGAAAUCCCCGGGCUCAACCUGGGAACUGCGCUUGUGACUGCAAGGCUAGAGUACGGCAGAGGGGGGUGGAAUUCCACGUGUAGCGGUGAAAUGCGUAGAGAUGUGGAGGAACACCAAUGGCGAAGGCAGCCCCCUGGGUCGAUACUGACGCUCAUGCACGAAAGCGUGGGUAGCAAACAGGAUUAGAUACCCUGGUAGUCCACGCCCUAAACGAUGUCAACUAGGUGUUGGGUGGGUAAAACCAUUUAGUACCGGAGCUAACGCGUGAAGUUGACCGCCUGGGGAGUACGGCCGCAAGGUUAAAACUCAAAGGAAUUGACGGGGACCCGCACAAGCGGUGGAUGAUGUGGAUUAAUUCGAUGCAACGCGAAAAACCUUACCUACCCUUGACAUGUCCAGGAGCCUGAAGAGAUUUGGGUGUGCCCGAAAGGGAGCUGGAACACAGGUGCUGCAUGGCUGUCGUCAGCUCGUGUCGUGAGAUGUUGGGUUAAGUCCCGCAACGAGCGCAACCCUUGUCGUUAAUUGCCAUCAUUUGGUUGGGCACUUUAACGAGACUGCCGGUGACAAACCGGAGGAAGGUGGGGAUGACGUCAAGUCCUCAUGGCCCUUAUGGGUAGGGCUUCACACGUCAUACAAUGGUCGGUACAGAGGGUUGCCAAGCCGCGAGGUGGAGCCAAUCCCAGAAAGCCGAUCGUAGUCCGGAUCGCAGGCUGCAACUCGCCUGCGUGAAGUCGGAAUCGCUAGUAAUCGCGGAUCAGCAUGUCGCGGUGAAUACGUUCCCGGGUCU
rnacentral:rRNA from 1 species